UGCGUAGGUGGCGAGGUAAGUUUGAUGUGAAAUCUCCGAGCUCAACUCGGAAAUGGCAUUGAAUACUAUCCCGCUUGAGGGUCGGAGGGGAGACUGGAAUUCUCGGUGUAGCAGUGAAAUGCGUAGAUAUCGAGAGGAACACCAGUGGCGAAGGCGAGUCUCUGGACGACUCCUGACACUGAGGCAAGACUGGGGGAGCGAAACA
rnacentral:rRNA from 1 species